rnacentral:rRNA from 1 species
CCUACGGGUGGCUGCAGUGGGGAAUAUUGCUCAAUGGAGGAGACCCUGAAGCAGCAACGUAGCGUGAAGGAUGAAUGUUUUCGGAUUGUAAACUCCUUUUUUUAGAGAAGUUAAUGACGGUAUCUAACGAAUUAUCACUGUCUAACACCGUGCCAGCAGCGGCGGUAAUACGGAGGGUGCAAGCGUUACUCGGAAGCACUGGGCGUAAAGAGCGCGUAGGCGGGAUAGCAAGUCAGAUGUGAAAUCCUAUGGCUUAACCAUAGAAUUGCAUUUGAAACUGUUAUUCUUGAGUACGGGAGAGGUAGGUGGAAUUCGUGGUGUAGCGGUAAAAUCCGUAGAGAUCAAGAGGAAUACUCAUUGCGAAGGCGACCUGCUAGAACAUAACUGACACUGAUGCGCGAAAGCGUGGGGAGCAAACAGGAUUAGAUACCCGAGUAGUC